AUUGAAUGCUGGCGGCAUGCUUUACACAUGCAAGUCGAACGGUAACAGGCCGCAAGGUGCUGACGAGUGGCGAACGGGUGAGUAAUGCAUCGGAACGUGCCCCGUCGUCGCGGAUAACGCAGCGAAAGCUGCGCUAAUACCGCAUACGAUCUAUGGAUGAAAGCGGGGGACCGUAAGGCCUCGCGCGAUUGGAGCGGCAGAUGUCAGAUUAGGUAGUUGGUGGGGUAAAGGCUCACCAAGCCAACGAUCUGUAGCUGGUCUGAGAGGACGAACAGCCACACUGGGACUGAGACACGACCCAGACUCCUACGGGAGGCAGCAGUGGGGAAUUUUGGACAAUGGGCGCAAGCCUGAUCCAGCAAUGCCGCGUGCAGGAAGAAGGCCUUCGGGUUGUAAACUGCUUUUGUACGGAACGAAAAGGCUCUGGUUAAUACCUGGGGCUCAUGACGGUACCGUAAGAAUAAGCACCGGCUAACUACGUGCCAGCCGCCGCCGUAAUAC
rnacentral:rRNA from 1 species